ACUGUGAAGUGUACAUAGUUGUUCCAACAUUGGUUGUUCCAACAUUGGAACUUGUGAGUAGCGUAUUGUUUAUAAUCGCCAAAACAUACACAUCGAAGCAGUAA
ncrna:unclassified sequences RAGATH-18 RNA